rnacentral:misc_RNA from 1 species
GAUGAAGAACGCAGUGAAAUGCGAUACGUAAUGUGAAUUGCAGAAUUCAGUGAAUCAUCGAGUCUUUGAACGCACAUUGCGCCCCCUGGUAUUCCGGGGGGCAUGCCUGUCCGAGCGUCAUUGCUGCCCUCAAGCACGGCUUGUGUGUUGGGCCUCCGCCCCCCGGCUCCCGGGGGGCGGGCCCGAAAGGCAGCGGCGGCACCGCGUCCGGUCCUCGAGCGUAUGGGGCUUCGUCACCCGCUCCGUAGGCCCGGCCGGCGCCCGCCGGCGACCCCCCUCAAUCUUUCCAGGUUGACCUCGGAUCAGGUAGGGAUACCCGCUGAACUUAAGCAUAUCAAAUAAGCGGAGGA